UAGGGAAUCUUCCGCAAUGGACGAAAGUCUGACGGAGCAACGCCGCGUGAGCGAAGAAGGUCUUCGGAUCGUAAAGCUCUGUUGUCAGGGAAGAACAAGUACCGUUCGAUAAGGGCGGUACCUUGACGGUACCUGUCGAGAAAGCCACGGCUAACUACGUGCCAGCAGCCGCGGUAAUACGUAGGUGGCAAGCGUUGUCCGGAAUCAUUGGGCGUAAAGCGCGCGCAGGCGGUCCUUUAAGUCUGAUGUGAAAUCUUGCGGCUCAACCGUAAGCGGUCAUUGGAAACUGGGGGACUUGAGUGCAGGAGAGGAAAGCGGAAUUCCAUGUGUAGCGGUGAAAUGCGUAGAGAUAUGGAGGAACACCAGUGGCGAAGGCGGCUUUCUGGCCUGUAACUGACGCUGAGGCGCGAAAGCGUGGGGAGCAAACA
rnacentral:rRNA from 1 species